UACGUAGGGUCCGAGCGUUGUCCGGAAUUAUUGGGCGUAAAGAGCUCGUAGGCGGUUUGUCGCGUCUGCUGUGAAAUCCCGAGGCUCAACCUCGGGCCUGCAGUGGGUACGGGCAGACUAGAGUGUGGUAGGGGAGACUGGAAUUCCUGGUGUAGCGGUGAAAUGCGCAGAUAUCAGGAGGAACACCGGUGGCGAAGGCGGUUCUCUGGGAAUGUCCUGACGGCUGAGGAGCGAAAGUGUGGGGAGCGAACAGG
rnacentral:rRNA from 1 species